rnacentral:rRNA from 1 species
GAUGAACGCUGACAGAAUGCUUAACACAUGCAAGUCGACUGGAAUUUUUCUUCGGAGCAUAGUACGGUGGCGGACGGGUGAGUAACGCGUAAAGAAUUUGCCCUUCAGACUGGGACAACUAACCGAAAGGUUAGCUAAUACCGGAUAUUAUGAGACCUUGGCAUCAAGGACUUAUGAAAGCUAUAUGCGCUGGAGGAGAACUUUGCGUCCCUUAGGUAGUUGGUAGGGUAAUGGCCUACCAAGCCGACGAUGGGUAGCCGGCCUGAGAGGGUGAACGGCCACAAGGGGACUGAGACACGGCCCUUACUCCUACGGGAGGCAGCAGUGGGGAAUAUUGGACAAUGGACCAAAAGUCUGAUCCAGCAAUUCUGUGUGCACGAUGAAGGUCUUCGGAUUGUAAAGUGCUUUCAGGUGGGAAGAAGAAAGUGACGGUACCACCAGAAGAAGCGACGGCUAAAUACGUGCCAGCGCCGCGGUAAUACGUAUGUCGCAAGCGUUAUCCGGAAUUAUUGGGCGUAAAGCGAGUCUAGGCGGCUUGUUAAGUCAGAUGUGAAAAUGCGGGGCUCAACUCCGUAUUGCGUUUGAAACUGGCAGGCUAGAGUACUGGAGAGGUGGGCGGAACUACAAGUGUAGAGGUGAAAUUCGUAGAUAUUUGUAGGAAUGCCGAUAGUGAAGACAGCUCACUGGACAGAUACUGACGCUAAAGCUCGAAAGCGUGGGGAGCGAAAGGAUUAGAUACCCUGGUAGUCCACGCCGUAAACGAUGUUCACUGGGUGUAGGGGGUCGAACCUCUGUGCCGAAGCUAACGCGAUAAGUGAACCGCCUGGGGAGUACGCACGCAAGUGUGAAACUCAAAGGAAUUGACGGGGACCCGCACAAGCGGUGGAGCAUGUGGUUUAAUUCGACGCAACGCGAGGAACCUUACCAGCACUUGACAUACAACGAACUCGUCAGAGAUGACUUGGUGCCGCUUCGGUGGAACGUUAUACAGGUGGUGCAUGGCUGUCGUCAGCUCGUGUCGUGAGAUGUUGGGUUAAGUCCCGCAACGAGCGCAACCCCUAUCGUAUGUUACCAUCAUUAAGUUGGGGACUCAUGCGAGACUGCCUGCGACGAGCAGGAGGAAGGUGGGGAUGACGUCAAGUCAUCAUGCCCCUUAUGUGCUGGGCUACACACGUGCUACAAUGGUUGGUACAGAGAGCAGCAAUACCGCGAGGUGGAGCAAAUCUCAGAAAGCCAAUCUUAGUCGGAUCGCAGUCUGCAACUCGACUGCGUGAAGUUGGAAUCGCUAGUAAUCGCAAAUCAGCAAUGUUGCGGUGAAUACGUUCUCGGGUCUUGUACACUCCGCCCGUCACACCAUGGGAGCUGGUAAUGCCCGAAGCCGGAUAGAUAACUUCGGAGUCUACUGUCUAAGGCAGGACCGGUGACUAGGGUG